rnacentral:rRNA from 1 species
CCUACGGGGGGCUGCAGUGAGGAAUAUUGGUCAAUGGCCGUAAGGCUGAACCAGCCAAGUCGCGUGAAGGAAGAAGGAUCUAUGGUUUGUAAACUUCUUUUAUAGGGGAAUAAAGGUAACCACGUGUGGAUAUUUGCAUGGACCCUAUGAAUAAGCAGCGGCUAACUCCGUGCCAGCAGCCGCGGUAAGACGGAGGAUGCGAGCGUUAUCCGGAUUGAUUGGGUGUAACGGGUGCGUAGGGUGUUUGUUAAGUCAGCGGUGAAAGUUUGUGGCUCAACCCUAAAAUUGCCGUUGAAACUGGAAGACUUGAGUGUGUUUGCGGUAGGCGGAAUGCGUGGUGUCGCGG